rnacentral:rRNA from 1 species
GCCCUUAGAUCGUUUCUGGGCCGCACGCGCGCUACACUGACAGGGCCAGCGAGUACAUCACCUUAACCGAGAGGUUUGGGUAAUCUUGUUAAACCCUGUCGUGCUGGGGAUAGAGCAUUGCAAUUAUUGCUCUUCAACGAGGAAUGCCUAGUAGGCACGAGUCAUCAGCUCGUGCCGAUUACGUCCCUG